rnacentral:rRNA from 1 species
AUUGAACGCUGGCGGCAGGCUUAACACAUGCAAGUCGAGCGGGGGAAGGUAGCUUGCUACCGGACCUAGCGGCGGACGGGUGAGUAAUGCCUAGGAAUCUGCCUAUUAGUGGGGGACAACAUCUCGAAAGGGAUGCUAAUACCGCAUACGUCCUACGGGAGAAAGCAGGGGAUCUUCGGACCUUGCGCUAAUAGAUGAGCCUAAGUCGGAUUAGCUAGUUGGUGGGGUAAAGGCCUACCAAGGCGACGAUCUGUAGCGGGUCUGAGAGGAUGAUCCGCCACACUGGGACUGAGACACGGCCCAGACUCCUACGGGAGGCAGCAGUGGGGAAUAUUGGACAAUGGGGGGAACCCUGAUCCAGCCAUGCCGCGUGUGUGAAGAAGGCCUUGUGGUUGUAAAGCACUUUAAGCGAGGAGGAGGCUACUUUAGUUAAUACCUAGAGAUAGUGGACGUUACUCGCAGAAUAAGCACCGGCUAACUCUGUGCCAGCAGCCGCGGUAA